rnacentral:rRNA from 1 species
GACGAACGCUGGCGGCGUGCUUAACACAUGCAAGUCGAACGGAAAGGCCCUGCUUUUGUGGGGUGCUCGAGUGGCGAAGGGGUGAGUAACACGUGAGUAACCUGCCCUUGACUUUGGGAUAACUUCAGGAAACUGGGGCUAAUACCGGAUAGGAGCUCCUGCUGCAUGGUGGGGGUUGGAAAGUUUCGGCGGUUGGGGAUGGACUCGCGGCUUAUCAGCUUGUUGGUGGGGUUGUGGCUUACCAAGGCUUUGACGGGUAGCCGGCCUGGGAGGGUGACCGGCCACAUUGGGACUGAGAUACGGCCCAGACUCCUACGGGAGGCAGCAGUGGGGAAUAUUGCACAAUGGGCGGAAGCCUGAUGCAGCAACGCCGCGUGCGGGAUGACGGCCUUCGGGUUGUAAACCGCUUUCGCCUGUGACGAAGCGUGAGUGACGGUAAUGGGUAAAGAAGCACCGGCUAACUACGUG